CCUUAUGAACUGACCAUAAGUUAUCUGGAUUUUCAUCAUCUGAUGAAUUGUCUGUGGUAGAAGAACUGCUCUCACUACAUUCAGUUCUGAUAUCUGUUAUUUUUUUUUUAUAAUGCCAAUGGCUUUUGAAGAAGCAAUAGGAUCAUUCGAAUGAAGUGUUUUGAAUCGGGGAUCUAGAAUAGAAGCUAUAGAUAAAAUUUCCAAAUACUCGACCCUACCAAACCGGGCAAUGAAGUAAUGGGAUUACUUUACUAGCCGUCACAUAGUUUUGGCCACAUAGUUCUUUUGUUGCAGCUUCAAAAGAUUGAUCAAUUGUGGGUUGCAUCAGUUUUGACUGUUUUGAGCAUGCACUGGAGGAGGAUCUGGUAGUCGAAGUGGCCACAGUAAAAUUUGAUACCACAGAAACGUCAGAAACCGAAUCACUCAAUUCACUGCUCUUUAACAACACAGAUUCAUAUCCAGAGCAUUGAGAUGUCGGCCGAGAAUGAGACAUAACCACUGUAUCCAAAGUAGUUUGUGUUUUUGUACC